rnacentral:rRNA from 1 species
AUUGAACGCUGGCGGCAGGCCUAACACAUGCAAGUCGAACGGGCUGGCGGACGGGUGAGUAAUGUCUGGGAAACUGCCCGAUGGAGGGGGAUAACGUCCGGCAACGGGCGCUAAUACCGCAUACUAUCAGAUGAGCCUAGGUCGGAUUAGCUAGUUGGUGGGGUAAAGGCCUACCAAGGCGACGAUCCGUAACUGGUCUGAGAGGAUGAUCCGUCACACUGGAACUUAGACACGGUCCUGACUCCGACGGACGUCAGCAAUGGGAAAGAUUGGACAAUGGGCGAAAGCCUGAUCCAGCCAGGCCGCGUGUGUGAAGAGGGUCUUCGGAUUGUAAAGCACUUUAAGUUGGGAGGCGUUACCAACAGAAUAGGCACCGGCUAACUUCGGGCCAGCAGCCGCGGUAAUUC